CCCAGUGGUAAGUCAGCUGCCCAGUGCUGUGCUGUGCCUGUGCUGGCGUUACACUGCUGGGAAAUGAAUGGUGCUGUUCUCUUACCCUGGCAGUUAACUGUUGCUGUUCUGGUGAUGGUUAAUGAUAAGCCUAGGCAGCACUGUGCAUCCUUGAGUGGGCCACUGUAUUUGUCCAUAUAGGUGGUCCUAGUCUGGUUGCAUACAUG